AGUUUUUUGGGGUUUUAUAAAAAAUAGUUUCUGCCCGGUGAAUUUUUAACGGCUGCGGUAAUUUGACCGUGCAAAGGUAGCAUAAUCAUUUGUCUUGUAAUUGAGGACUGGAAUGAAUGGGAGGACCAAAAUUAAAGCUUUUUUAACUGUUUGUUUAAAAAUUUCUUUUUAAGUGAGGAAGCUUAAAAAAACAAAGGGACAAGAAGACCCUAUUGAGCUUUACUUUUAUAAACUAUAGAGAGUUUUUUAGUGAAAAAAGGUUAGGCUGGGGCGGUGGAGGAAGAGAAAAUCUUCCUUUUUUGUUUUUUCAUGAUCCAAGCUUUUUGAAAAAAAGAAUAAGUUACCAUAGGGAUAACAGCGUAAUUUUUUUGGAGAGUUCUUAUUAAUAAAAAAGUUUGCGACCUCGAUGUUGACUUUUAAUAGCUUUUUGGUGCAGGUGCCAGGAAGGUGGGUCUGUUCGACCCUUAAAAUUAA
rnacentral:rRNA from 1 species